GUACUUGCUUUGCCAGCACAUAUACUAAAAUUGGAACAAUACAGAGAAGAUUAGCAUGGCCCCCUGUGAAAAGAUUACAUGCAAAUUUGGGAAGCAUUCCAUAUUCUU
rnacentral:snRNA from 1 species